GUGGGAGGACAGACAGGCUACCUGAGACAUAAAACCGAUAGGUGGGAGGACAGACAGGCUACCUGAGACAUAAAACCGAUAGGUGGGAGGACAGACAGGCUACCUGAGACAUGAAACCGAUAGGUGGGAGGGCAGACAGGCUACCUGAGACAUGAAACCGAUAGGUGGGAGGGCACACAUUAAUUAAUGCGCAUUUUAUUUUAGGUGUGAUGUCAUUACGCAAAGCUAUUUUUAUUGAGACAAGAUAGUUAAUUGGAAACGCACCCUAGCAGGCAAUUGUCGAAUAAAUUUUCUAUGCAAACUUUCUAAAUGUUGACAACAACAAAA
ensembl:lncRNA